ACCAAACCAUCCUGCACAGAGGAGCUGCAGCCUGGGAAUGUCCCUGGAUGGUGCUCAGGAGCAGCGGUGAAGCCCUAUCAGGUCCUGUCUGGGAUGGUUUUUCACCUCUCAUCUCUUGUGUCCCAGCCACUCCAUCAAARCCAAAUUGUUUUGGCAGUGAGGAAGAAUCCAGAAGGAUCCAGCACAAGCUGCCCCUGYGUCCAAACUCUGGCAGGGAGCUGUUUCCAGGGGCUGAGGUGCAGAAAAUAAACCCAGCUGGGCUCAGUGACUCAAWAUCUCUGCUGCCAUCUCGAGUAAGAGGAAAGUCUGAACAUCUGAUCAACCUCUACCUGCUUGAUCAGGGUUUUAAACGUGAGUUUUGUUAAAUUAGCCAGGCCAGACUGGUGUCUGGUGUGUGAAGGGUUGGAAAGGCUCUGUUUGCACCAGGAAAGGUUCCCACACUCUCUGGAGAAUUUGUGAUGCUGAAAACUGAGAACAAA